AUUGAACGCUGGCGGCAGGCCUAACACAUGCAAGUCGAACGAGUGGCGGACGGGUGAGUAAUGUCUGGGAAACUGCCUGAUGGAGGGGGAUAACUACUGGAAACGGUAGCUAAUACCGCAUACCAUCAGAUGUGCCCAAAUGGGAUUAGCUAGUUGGUGGGGUAACGGCUCACCAAGUCGACGAUCACUAGGUGGGCUGAGAGGAUGACCAUCCACACUGGAACUGAGACACGGCCCAAAUUCCUACGGGAGGCAGCAGUGGGGAAUAUUGCACAAGGGGCGCAAGCCUGAUACAGCCAUGCCGCGUGUAUGAAGAAGGCCGUCGGGUUGUAAAGUACUUUCAGCGGGGAGGCGUUACCCGCAGAAGAAGCACCGGCUAACUCCGUGCCAGCAGCCGCGGUAAUUC
rnacentral:rRNA from 1 species